AAUCAACGCUGGCGGCGUGCCUCAGACAUGCAAGUCGAACGAUUAAGACUUCCUUCGGGAAGUGCAUAAAGUGGCGCACGGGUGAGUAACACGUAAGUAAUCUACCCUCGAGUGGGGAAUAACAGUCGGAAACGACUGCUAAUACCGCAUAAUGCAGCGGCACCGCAAGGUGACAGUUGUUAAAGGAGCAAUCCGCUUGAGGAGGAGCUUGCGGCAGAUUAGCUAGUUGGUAAGGUAACGGCUUACCAAGGCUACGAUCUGUAUCCGGUCUAAGAGGACGGUCGGACACACUGACACUGAAUAACGGGUCAGACUCCUACGGGAGGCAGCAGUCGGGAAUUUUGGGCAAUGGGGGAAAGCCUGACCCAGCAACGCCGCGUGAAGGAUGAAGUAUUUCGGUAUGUAAACUUCGAAAGAAUAGGAAGAAUAAAUGACGGUACUAUUUAUAAGCUCCGGCUAACUACGUGCCAGCAGCCGCGGUAAUAC
rnacentral:rRNA from 1 species